CGCCAGGUGGCGCAGUGACUUGAAGUUGCAGAGCACAGGGAGGGAGAGGGAGAGAUCUUAUCUUCCACCUACGAACCUCUGUCAAACAGAAAUUCCCAAACCCGUUGAAAAAAUAAACGUUCUACUACUCUGUUGCAGUAACGAUCGAUUCAUAAAAAAAUGGAAGUUCCGGUACCCGGAAGCCAUACGGAAGCCCUAGCAGCACCAACUCAAGCAAGUCCUGCUCGAUACUACACAAUAACUGUGUCCGCGCCGCUAUUGUCGAUCAUUGAAUCCAAAACGGCGACAUAUCAUGGCGUCCAAACGAAGAGGAACGGUAAUGACCGCGGAAGAGAAAGUGGAAUGCAUCCGAUUAAGCGAAGCGGGUUAGAAAGUAGAAACAUUCAAGAGACGCUUGUAGUCGGAAAGACUCAAAUCUACGAGACUUUAUCAAACAAGGAAGCCAUUCUUGCUCAGUCCGAUUCUGGCAAUUUCCUGGAGUGCUUUACCUAUUAUCGUGCCAAAAAAA